rnacentral:rRNA from 1 species
AAAGAGCUCGUAGGUGGUCUGUUGCGUCCGCUGUGAAAUCUCAGGGCUUAACCCUGAGCCUGCAGUGGAUACGGGCAGACUAGAGGUAGGUAGGGGAGAAUGGAAUUCCUGGUGUAGCGGUGAAAUGCGCAGAUAUCAGGAGGAACACCGGUGGCGAAGGCGGUUCUCUGGGCCUUACCUGACACUGAGGAGCGAAAGCGUGGGGAGCGAACAGGAUUAGAUACCCCUGU